rnacentral:misc_RNA from 1 species
UCCGAGUUGUCCCCGGCAGUCCCCUUAGAGUCCCCGGCUUUACCCGCUGGCAACUAAGGGCAGGGGUUGCGCUCGUUGCGGCACUUAAGCCAACACCUCACGGCACGAGCUGACGACGGCCAUGCAGCACCUGUACACCGGCCUUGCGGAGGCCAUGUCUCCACGGCUUUCCGGUGUAUGUCAAACCCAGGUAAGGUUCUUCGCGUUGCAUCGAAUUAAUCCACAUGCUCCGCCGCUUGUGCGGGCCCCCGUCAAUUCCUUUGAGUUUUAAUCUUGCGACCGUACUCCCCAGGCGGAAUGCUUAAAGCGUUAGCUGCGCCACUGACAGGCAAGCCUGCCAACGGCUAGCACUCAACGUUUACGGCUGGGACUAC